GAUGAACGCUGGCGGCGUGCCUAAUACAUGCAAGUCGAGCGAACGGACGAGAAGCUUGCUUCUCUGAUGUUAGCGGCGGACGGGUGAGUAACACGUGGAUAACCUACCUAUAAGACUGGGAUAACUUCGGGAAACCGGAGCUAAUACCGGAUAAUAUUUUGAACCGCAUGGUUCAAAAGUGAAAGACGGUCUUGCUGUCACUUAUAGAUGGAUCCGCGCUGCAUUAGCUAGUUGGUAAGGUAACGGCUUACCAAGGCAACGAUGCAUAGCCGACCUGAGAGGGUGAUCGGACACACUGGAACUGAGACACGGUCCAGACUCCUACGGGAGGCAGCAGUAGGGAAUCUUACGCAAUGGGCGAAAGCCUGACGGAGCAACGCCGCGUGAGUGAUGAAGGUCUUCGGAUCGUAAAACUCUGUUAUUAGGGAAGAACAUAUGUGUAAGUAACUGUGCACAUCUUGACGGUACCUAAUCAGAAAGCCACGGCUAACUACGUG
rnacentral:rRNA from 1 species